GCCCAGGUGGCGGAAUUUGGCAGACGCGCUAGCUUGAGGGGCUAGUCUCCUUAUGGAGGUGCUGGUUCGAAUCCAGUCCUGGGCA
rnacentral:tRNA from 1 species